rnacentral:rRNA from 1 species
UACGUAGGGGGCUAGCGUUGUCCGGAAUCACUGGGCGUAAAGGGCGCGUAGGCGGCUUUGUAAGUCGGGGGUGAAAGCCUGUGGCUCAACCACAGAAUUGCCUUCGAUACUGCAUGGCUUGAGACCGGAAGAGGUAAGUGGAACUGCGAGUGUAGAGGUGAAAUUCGUAGAUAUUCGCAAGAACACCAGUGGCGAAGGCGGCUUACUGGUCCGGUUCUGACGCUGAGGCGCGAAAGCGUGGGGAGCAAACAGG